rnacentral:rRNA from 1 species
GACGAACGCUGGCGGCGUGCUUAACACAUGCAAGUCGAACGGUGAUGCUCCAGCUUGCUGGAGUGGAUCAGUGGCGAACGGGUGAGUAACACGUGAGCAACCUGCCCCAGACUCUGGAAUAAGCGCUGGAAACGGCGUCUAAUACUGGAUACGAAACUGGCCCGCAUGGGCAUGGUUUGGAAAGUUUUUCGGUUUGGGAUGGGCUCGCGGCCUAUCAGCUUGUUGGUGAGGUAAUGGCUCACCAAGGCGACGACGGGUAGCCGGCCUGAGAGGGCGACCGGCCACACUGGGACUGAGACACGGCCCAGACUCCUACGGGAGGCAGCAGCGGGGAAUAUUGCACAAUGGGCAAAAGCCUGAUGCAGCGACGCCGCGUGAGGGAUGACGGCCUUCGGGUUGUAAACCUCUUUCAGCAGGGAAGAAGCGAAAGUGACGGUACCUGCAGAAGAAGCACCGGCUAACUACGUG